UUUGGAUCAAGAUAGCCAUGCAUGUCCAGACUAAACAAGUUGUCAGUGAAUCUGCGUAUGGCUCAAUAAACGAACCAUAACCUCCCCGAGAACAAAGUACAACUGGAUAACCGUUGUAAUUCAAGGGCUAAUCAUGCGUCAAUAGGGGCUUCUUCAUUGGAGCUUCUGCAUUUGUUAGUCUCAAAUCAACAUUCUGUGAUGAAUCAUGACAAACUGCGAAUCCUCAUGUUGCAAAAAACGGAGGAUGACUCGGUCGGGUCUUUCCCCUAUCAGGUUUCGUAGGGAGUGUAUUGAACUCUCUAGCCUUUGACGGGUAACGGAGAAUUAGGGUUCGAUUCCGGAGAAGGAGCCUGAGAGACGGCUACUACAUCUAAGGAAGGCAGCAGGCGCGCAAAUUUCCCAAUGCUCAUCGAGCGAGGAAGUGACGAUCAAUAAUAAUGUGCGGGGUUUAACCCUGUGCAAUUACAAUGAGUAAAAUGUACAAGCGUUUUCCAUGAUCA
rnacentral:rRNA from 1 species